rnacentral:rRNA from 1 species
UGGGGAAUCUUGGACAAUGGGGGCAACCCUGAUCCAGCCAUGCCGCGUGAGUGAUGAAGGCCCUAGGGUCGUAAAGCUCUUUCGCCUGUGAAGAUAAUGACGGUAGCAGGUAAAGAAACCCCGGCUAACUCCGUGCCAGCAGCCGCGGUAAUACGGAGGGGGCAAGCGUUGUUCGGAUUUACUGGGCGUAAAGGGCGCGUAGGCGGACGGUCAAGUCAGAGGUGAAAGGCCCGGGCUCAACCUGGGACGUGCCUUUGAAACUGAUUGUCUUGAGUGCGGAAGAGGGUGACGGAAUUCCCAGUGUAGAGGUGAAAUUCGUAGAUAUUGGGAAGAACACCGGUGGCGAAGGCGGUCACCUGGUCCGCAACUGACGCUGAGGCGCGAAAGCGUGGGGAGCAAACAGGAUUAGAUACCCCGGUAGUCC